rnacentral:rRNA from 1 species
GACAGAGGUGGCAAGCGUUGCUCGGAAUUACUGGGCUUAAAGGGCGCGUAGGCGGCUUUGUAAGUCUGAGGUGGAAUCCCAUAGCUCAACUAUGGAACUGCCUUAGAAACUGCAAGGCUUGAGACAAGUAGAGGGAGGCGGAAUUCCCGGUGUAGCGGUGAAAUGCGUAGAUAUCGGGAGGAAGGCCGGUGGCGAAGGCGGCCUCCUGGGCUUGUCCUGACGCUGAGGCGCGAAAGCGUGGGGAGCAAACAGG